rnacentral:lncRNA from 1 species
AGUGCCUAAGCAACUUAGCAACUGAACCAGUUCUGGGAAGCUGUGUCCCCAGCACUGGUAUGUGCCUCUGCUGGGCACUGGGCACCCAAGUGGGAACUGUUUUCCUUCAUAUGCAAGGCUCUUCUCAUGGGGGUGGGAGGGUAAGGCUGCUCUUCUGGAGUAUAAUCUCUGAAGGUAUCUAGCCAUGCCAAGCCCAGGAAAUCAGGUCCCUGGGAUGCUAUGCAGCUUCUGACCCUUCUGAUGGCAGAUUCCUGCCUGUGUAGACCUUCACUCAGUUGGGUGGUGUCUCAGGUAGCGAGUGUUUCACCUUGCUAAUAUGGGGUGGAUGAAUAAACAAAUUGAAGAAAAUGAGCGGACUCAGCUCUGAUCUAGACUGUUCUAUAGGCAUGAUAUACAAUAGAAUUACAGGUGAGGAAACCAGUAAAUGUUUGAAACUGCAGUUUUAAUGCUUAGUAAUCUCUUCUAAACCGGAGCUUAAUUGAAGAUGCUACCUUUGUUGAGCAUAACAUCUCCUGCUCUUUCUAGUCUCAAUGCAGAUGUUCAUGAUGCUCUUGGACAACGAAACCUCAUCAAUGGUGAACAAAUGUGUUGACUUUCUCUUUUUGCCUCUAUCUACAAUUAAUUAAUUGCACUCCCUAGAAAAUGGA